GUGGAAGAGUAAACUGUUCCUGUUUCUCCAUCUUGACAGGAAGCAGAAGUUCUCCUUAGCUGAUUUUUCUUCUUGCCUUAUACUGGGUUCUUUAACACCAGAACAAAAAUAAAUAAAUAAAAGAAUCUUCCAGAAAUUCAUGAAGAGACUUCAGGUCAGGAAAGCCUGAACUUUCUCAUCCAACACCCGUUCAAGUCGGAGGAUGCUGAUUAAUUCAUGAUGGAAAGGAGACCUCUGUGGAUUCUAUAACUCAAAGACCCAGGCUGACGGCUGGUGGAAUAGCUACCAUCUCAAACAUGGCGUGAUGCUGCAUCAGAGAGAAAAAUAAGCUCUUGCAUUGACAAUGAAAUGUCUACCCUG
rnacentral:lncRNA from 1 species